UACGAAGGGGGCGAGCGUUGUUCGGAAUUACUGGGCGUAAAGCGUGCGUAGGCGGCUAUGAAAGUUAGAAGUGAAAGCCCAGGGCUCAACCCUGGAAUUGCUUUUAAAACUCCAUAGCUUGAAUUCGGGAGAGGAUAGCGGAAUUCUCAGUGUAGCAGUGAAAUGCGUAGAUAUUGAGAGGAACACCAGUGGCGUAGGCGGCUAUCUGGCCCGACAUUGACGCUGAGGCACGAAAGCGUGGGGAGCAAACAGG
rnacentral:rRNA from 1 species